CUCUCUCCGCCCUCGCAGGACGACUACCGCAAGCUGCUGACCAAGUACGCCGCGGCCGAGAACACCAUCGACCAGCUGCGGCUGGGCGCCAAGGUGAGCCUGUACGCCGACCUGCCGAAGCCCAGCCACAGCGUCCACAUGGGGACCGUGGGGACYGGCUCCAAGGUCAUGGCCUUCAGCAUCCCACAGGCGAGGGCGGCGGCGAUCAGCGCUGCCCCUGCCCCAGCCCUGCGGCCCUCUCUGGAUGGAGAGCCAGCACAAGGAGCAGCCAGCCAGGGGAUGUCACCUCAGCCUCGUUUUCCUCCUUUGCCCGGUGCGGGCUGCUCUGCAUGCCCAGGAGAGUGCAGGUGCCCAGGGCAGCACCCAUGCCYGGGAACCCAGCUCACGCGGACACUGGCGGGACAAACCCGCAAGUUUCAGGCUCAGGCAAGUCCGGGCACAGCAACCCCAGGCAGUGGAGAGGGUGGCGGGGCUGGAUGCAGACCUUGGGACUGGAUGUUGGCAUGUUGGCGGGAGGAGAAAAUGGAUUUCUGCCCCUGUGGUACCUCCCAGGGCAGGGCUCAGUUCACCCCUUUCUCUCUUGACCAGGUGGAGUCCUUCGAAGCCUGGGUCCAGGCGGGAAAGUCCACACCACAGGAGCAGCUCCAGAGAUUUAGGAAGCUGRAGGACACUCAGGACGUGCUGGAGCGAGCAUAUCUGCAAGCCCGGGAGGAGAACCGCAGGCUGCAACAGCACCGGGGAGCCUCAGGGGAGUUUGAUCCAGACCGGUAGGUGUUUUAGCACAGGACAGGAGGGACAAGGGCUCAGUUCCCACUCUGCCAUGCUCUUUGCUACC
rnacentral:lncRNA from 1 species